GUCGACAUGGUGUAGUGGUGCACACUUUGGUGGGGUUGGCCGCCAUCCGACAAGCCAAAGAGGUGUCGGUUCGACUCCGACUGUCGCCG